UCUCAAAAAGCCGAUCGUAGUCCGGAUUGGAGUCUGCAACUCGACUCCAUGAAGUCGGAAUCGCUAGUAAUCGCGGAUCAGAAUGCCGCGGUGAAUACGUUCCCGGGCCUUGUACACACCGCCCGUCACACCAUGGGAGUUUGUUGCACCAGAAGUAGCUAGCCUAACUGCAAAGAGGGCGGUUACCACGGUGUGGCCGAUGACUGGGGUGAAGUCGUAACAAGGUAGCCGUAGGGGAACCUGCGGCUGGAUCACCUCCUUAA
rnacentral:rRNA from 1 species